rnacentral:rRNA from 1 species
CGUCUAUAUACGUAUAGCAUAUCAAUAAGCGGAGGAAAAGAAACUAACAAGGAUUCCCCUAGUAACGGCGAGUGAAGCGGGAAGAGCUCAAAUUUGAAAUCUUAAAGGGUUUCCCUUUACGAAUUGUAGUUUAAAGAAGUGUUUUCUGUUGGAGCUUCGGUAAAAGUUCUUUGGAAUAGGACAUCAUAGAGGGUGAGAAUCCCGUAUUUGACCGUUACUUUCCAGCUGUGUGAUACACUUUCAAAGAGUCGGAUUGUUUGGGAAUGCAGUCCAAAAUGGGUGGUAAAUUUCAUCUAAAGCUAAAUAUUGGCGAGAGACCGAUAGCGAACAAGUACCGUGAGGGAAAGAUGAAAAGAACUUUGAAAAGAGAGUUAAACAGUACGUGAAAUUGUCAAAAGGGAAGCGUUUGACACCAGUGUUGUUUAGUUGAAAAUCAAUUCAAUAGUUUUUGAUUUUGAGUAGUAUUGACUUCAUCAGCUUGCUGCUUUUUUUUCAGGAAUUAUUGAAUGCACUUUUCAGUUAACAAGUCAACAUCAAUUUCUUUUGUUGUAAAAGGGUAAGAGGAAGGUGGCUUACGUUUCGGCGUAAGUGUUUAUAGCCUUUUACCUCUGCAAUCGGAGAGAUUGAGGACAGCAGCGUAGACUCCUUCUGGGGUUAGAUACACUUGUGCUAAGCUAUAGCCUUGUAUAGACAACUUGUUGACUAUGCUCAGUCAUGUAGCUUACUCGCUUGUGCUAUUUUACCUACGCUUAGGAUGUUGAUAUGCAUGACUGAUAU